rnacentral:rRNA from 1 species
UACGGAGGGUGCGAGCGUUUGUCCGGAAUCACUGGGCGUAAAGGGCGCGUAGGCGGCCCGGCAAGUCAGUGGUGAAAGCCCGAGGCUCAACUUCGGGUCGGCCACUGAUACUGCUAGGCUUGAGUCGACUAGAGGCAGAUGGAAUUCCGGGUGUAGCGGUGGAAUGCGUAGAGAUCCGGAAGAACACCGGUGGCGAAGGCGGUCUGCUGGGGUCGAACUGACGCUGAGGCGCGACAGCGUGGGGAGCAACAGG